rnacentral:rRNA from 1 species
CCUACGGGAGGCAGCAGUGGGGAAUCUUGCGCAAUGGGCGAAAGCCUGACGCAGCCAUGCCGCGUGAAUGAUGAAGGUCUUAGGAUUGUAAAAUUCUUUCACCGAGGACGAUAAUGACGGUACUCGGAGAAGAAGCCCCGGCUAACUUCGUGCCAGCAGCCGCGGUAAUACGAAGGGGGCUAGCGUUGCUCGGAAUUACUGGGCGUAAAGGGAGCGUAGGCGGAUAGUUUAGUCAGAGGUGAAAGCCCAGGGCUCAACCUUGGAAUUGCCUUUGAUACUGGCUAUCUUGAGUACGGAAGAGGUAUGUGGAACUCCGAGUGUAGAGGUGAAAUUCGUAGAUAUUCGGAAGAACACCAGUGGCGAAGGCGACAUACUGGUCCGUUACUGACGCUGAGGCUCGAAAGCGUGGGGAGCAAACAGGAUUAGAUACCCUGGUAGUCCACGCUGUAAACGAUGAGUGCUAGUUGUCGGCAUGCAUGCAUGUCGGUGACGCGAGCUACGACAUAAGACGACGUCCGCCGUCGGGAGGUACGGUCGCGAAGAAGUUAAACUUAACGAAAGUAAGUUAGUUACGGCGUUGAGACGUGCCGACGGACGACGACGAGGGGAGGUUAGG